UGUAGGUAUGAAUUUAAACAAAUUAGCAUAUUGUGACGUCACUGAUCUUUCAACCCGUGUCUUCAGGCGCAGCCGUGUUUCCACUGUCGGGCCUAAAGCGGGCGUGCUAGUGCGUGCCAGGGCCAGUCGCGUUUCCACUGUCACUUCCGGGGCUUGAUCGUGCCUCAUCGGGGCCAACGGCCCGGGUUUUUCGGCCCGCCGAAUACCUUGGUCCAAAGCGGGCCAGCUCGGGCUUGAGGAGGGAGUGGUUACGAACAAAGGCGGAGUUUAUCUGUGUGUGGAGACCAUAGACUGUGGUGGAGACGGAGGCGCCGAUAAUUACAUUAAACCUAAUCCUCUGGCCAGACGAUGACAAGCCAGGAUUCAUGAGGACUGUCGCCGAAAGCGUCUGAAGGGGUUCAGUAAAGCCAGACAGAAAAUUAAGAUCAUCAUCAUCAUUCUCCAUUCCUGAUUUUAUUCCAGCACCAAUUUUCCUUUCAAAUGUACAUGCAAAUUUCCACUGUAAUUAUUGUAAAAUAGAAUCUGGAAUACAAGCCAUGUCAGAUUGAGAUUUAUAUCUGUGAUAACUGAUGUUCUUUAUGCUAAACCACACACACACACACACACACACACACAGACACACAGAGAGAGAGAGAGAGAAAGACAGGUAUCAUCAUGAUGAGGACAAUCUGUAGACAUAAUGGUUUUUAUACUGUACAAAGUGUAUAUUCUGUCCCCCUACACUACCCUAUCACAAAAAAAAACAAAAACUUUCUGCAUUUUUUAGUAUGUUUUUAAGCCAUUUCAAUUACAAGGGCUCAGGAAAUGUCCUCACAAACGUCCUCAUUUAUGUUGUAAGACCAGUGUAAUGUCAUUAUACACAUUUGUGUCCUCAUAAAUCAUAUAAACAAGCACACAUAAACACUCUCUCUCUCACACACACACACACACACACACAGUGUCCUUAGGCAACGCAUGCAUUGGAUUGCUAUGACACGUGAAAACCGUCAUGGUGAAUGUAACAGUUUUGCACAGACAUGAGCUGUAACUGAAUCCUGAAGUGUGCUCAUCAAUAAACAUGACAUUUACCAAGAAUUACUGGGAGUUUCUGCUAAUUUGCUCAGAAUAAGGAACGACAAGCAGCCUGGUGGAUGAGACAGAAACCAUCUCAGAUAAUGAAUGAGCAAUAGAAACCAGUAAAGCUCCCUGA